rnacentral:rRNA from 1 species
AACGCUGGCGGCGUGCUUAACACAUGCAAGUCGAACGAACCUUCGGGUUAGUGGCGGACGGGUGAGUAACGCGUGAGAAUCUGCCCUCAGGAGGGGGAUAACGGUUGGAAACGACCGCUAAUACCCCAUAUGCCUACUGGUGAAAUGAAUUUCGCCUGAGGAUGAGCUCGCGUCUGAUUAGCUAGUUGGUGAGGUAAUGGCUCACCAAGGCUUCGAUCAGUAGCUGGUCUGAGAGGAUGAUCAGCCACACUGGGACUGAGACACGGCCCAGACUCCUACGGGAGGCAGCAGUGGGGAAUUUUCCGCAAUGGGCGAAAGCCUGACGGAGCAACGCCGCGUGAGGGACGAAGGCCUCUGGGCUGUAAACCUCUUUUCUCAAGGAAGAAGAUAUG